UACGUAGGGUGCGAGCGUUAAUCGGAAUUACUGGGCGUAAAGCGUGCGCAGGCGGUUUUGUAAGCCAGAUGUGAAAUCCCCGGGCUUAACCUGGGAAUGGCAUUUGGGACUGCAAGGCUUGAGUGCGGCAGAGGAGACUGGAAUUCCUGGUGUAGCAGUGAAAUGCGUAGAUAUCAGGAGGAACACCGAUGGCGAAGGCAGGUCUCUGGGCUGACACUGACGCU
rnacentral:rRNA from 1 species